CGAACGCCGCGCCUCACAGUCUCCAGCGCGCCGCGGAGGCCUCUUCCCUACUCUCAGCCUGGCUUCCUGGGCUUGCGCAACAGACCCCUCCGUGCCUCCAGCUCUCCACCUACUGGCUCCCCGGGAGGGGUGCCCAAGGAACUUCCAGGAUCAUGUUGAAUGGAAGGGCUAAAAUGGGUAUCCUUGUCUUGUUCCUGAUCUUAGAGACUGGCCCUGAGCUGAACCUGAGUCGCCUGGUGGGCUUGCUGAAACACUGAUGCCUGGGCUUGGCCCCCAAAGUUUCUGAUUGGUGAUGCGCAGAUUUUCCAACACGUCCCAGGGAUCAGUGAAAAACCGUCUUGAGUGGUGACCUGGGUGUGCCUGGGUGAAGAGCCAAGCAGCUGCCCUACCUCCCCAAUUGACUGGCCAGCAGUGUUCUCCCUUUGCAGUUGAUGCUUGCUGCUCUGCUCCCUUCCUGUCCUAGAAUGGGCUGGGUGUCUACAUGGUGCUUCUUUAACUGUGAUGUGUGUUGCCCAGGGGCAUAAAUCUGUAUGUCAGGAGUUAAUGAGGAUUCUGAAUAAACUUGGCUUAUCUUCCUGGAGUGACAGUUUUACCUGAUGGCAAGUGAUUUAAACAUUUGCAUUAAUUAAUUAUUGAUUUUAAGUGGUUUAAUAUUUCAAUUUUGUUUCUUUACAAACACUGCUAUUUUAUGAAAUGAAAUCAUCAGUAUACAUGAAUUUUAAAAUGACAAACCGCAUUAUGUGUCAAAGAAAUUUUGGGUUUGCAGCAGGCCACUUAAAUUCAUUCUCCCGGGCCCUUGGGAGCCCUCUCCUGGAAAUUGCUGUGAAGCACUGCAUAAGGUGGUGUUCCAGGCACUUCCAGCAAGGAGGAUGGGAGAGCAGGCAGACAGGACGCUGGUAAGAGGCUGACAGUGAGGAUGGAAGGGCAUUUGUGUGAGAUGAGGUCAGCAUGACAAUGGUUUGGGGUAGAUUUGCAAGCAUGUGUGAACUUAAUAAUAUCCAUAGGUCAUCAUCUCUGCCUUUAAAAAAACAACACAAAACCCUACUCCUCUACUGCCUUUGUUCUGUUGUCCUGUUCUUGCAGUCUCAUCCCAGUCGGGGUGCCGUUAUGGACUGAAUGGUGCUUGCCCAAAAUUCCUAAACUGAAGCCCUAAACCCUCAUACCUCACAAUGUGACUAUUUUUUUAAGAUAGGGCCAUUAAAGAAGUAGUUAAUUAAAAUGAGGUCAUUAGAGUGGGCCCUAAUCCAAUAGGACUUCUGUCCUUCUAAAAUGAGGAGAUUAGGACAGAGAGAGAGAGACCAGACCUAUACAUGCUCCCAGGGACAACCAGGCGAAGAAACAGGGCUAUUUACAUGCCAAGGAGAGAGGCCUCAGACACCUUGAUCUUAGACAUCCAGCGUUCAAAACUGUAAGAAAAUAAAUUCUGUUGUGUAAGCCCUUCAGCUUGUGGUACUGUGUUGUGCAGCCCUAGUCCUAGCUGACUAAUACAGGUGCUUCCUACUCCAAACAUUGUCUUUUAUUGA